AUGUUUUCAUGCAUGUAUAUCUAUCUGAGAUAUGGGAGAAUAAAUUACUGACUUUGCCUGUAGUGUAAACGUUAGUGCAUGAACACAUAGUUUUCCCAACUGUGGUUGAUUCUUUGGAAAAUAUUAGGCAUCAUACCAGACGUUGGAGUUUUAUGACUGUAAUUACUUUUUUGCUUCAGAAUAUGUUUAAAGUGAUAUUCUUUUAAUUUUGUGGGUUUUUUGUUGUGGUUGUUGUUGUUAGUAUUAAUUUUUGUUAUUAUUGCUGCUUUACAUGUAUAUUUUCCAGAGAUAUUGAAAAAUCUAGUUCUUUUGAUUUGUUGAACAUUCCUGUUUCUUUAAGUCUCUCAGACAACUUUCCUAUCAUUCUGUACAUCUCCAAUAUAAGUACAUGCUAAGUUUUAAGCCCUUGGUGCUCAUUUUCUUAGAAGUAAAUUGACUUACCUCACAAGAAGUGUUAACUGUGUGAAAAUGCUGUUUUGAAAAAUUCAAGCUCUGACUUUUGUGAAAGAGACAUAGAAAUGUAGAUUAUUUAUUUAAGAGUAUAUAAGAGGUUUACAGUUAAUGGUUAAAAACAAAGUUGUUGGUAAAGAAUUUCUUUAGACCUUCAAGGUAGUUUUCAAAAUUAGAAUAUUUUUCACAAUUUAUGUUUUUUCAUAGUUUAUGUUUAUAAAGAAAAGCUGAACUAAUGCUAAAUGAAUUUUAAGUAAUAAUUGAAAGCUAUAUUGACAAUGCAUUCCCUAAAUAUCCCCAUCCUUUAUUGCUUUAUCUUUAGAAAACUUUUAAGCUUAUAUUAGAACUAAACUAUAACAUUCUGUACAUUAUCUAGAACUAGCAGUUGGUAUUGUUAAAAUGAUGGGUGCCAUUAAAAGCAUAUAAAGUACUUCAGAGUCCUCUAGCACACACUGUACUCCUGACAUAUUUAGAAGGUUAAGGCAAGGUGAUAAUAAGGUCAAGGCUGGUUUGGUCCAUAAAGCAAGAUUCAGCUUCAGAGGACCAGAAAUACCAUAGCAGAAAACAGAAUAAUCCAGAUGAAGGCUUUUGAACUCAGACUGUUAGAAAUGAGCUCUGUCCCUGUGGACCUCAGUGUGACUCUUACUUGCUGCUUUUAUUAAAGUUGUGGAAUUUGUAAGAAGAACCAUGAUCAGCAUCUUCUUUUACUGUGUGACACCUGUAAACUGCAUUAUCAUCUCGGCUGCCUUGAUCCUCCUCUUACAAGGAUGCCGAGAAAGACGAAAAACAGUUACUGGUAAGUGAAACGGACAAGAAAUAGUUGGAAUUAGUUUGUUUUUAGCCUCAACAGUACAACCCUGUUGUAUCACUAAUUCAUAAUAAAGUAUUUUUCACAUUUCUAAUUAAAUAUUUGUCUUUCUAACUUAUAUGAGUAAAGUACAAUUUUUGUUGAAAUGACUUAUUAGUAUUUUUUUAAUCUUAGCAAUGUAUAAUUCCUUACAUAAGGUACAAGAGCUUUCUGUGCUGUGUUUAUAAUUUUCAUUUUAUGAUUUGGUAUUUCUCAAAUGCUUUUUGUUUUUUGAAGGCAAAUGAAUUUUAAGUUUCAUUAGCCCAUUGUUUGGAAAUCCAGAAACUUUGAAAGCUUUUUUCUUUUUUAAGAGAGAAUCUUACUUUCCUGUCUUAUGUUGAAGUUGUUAUGUCGUUGAGGAUAACUUUCAACUUUCUAGCCUCCUGCUUCCUCCUCCUGAGUGUUGGAUUGUAGGCCUGUGCCAGAAUGCUCAGUUUAUGUGGUGUAAUGACUCAAACUGUAGAGUUUGUUGUGUUAGUAAAUACUCCACUAACUUAACAAGAUAUCCAGCCCUGACAAGCAUUCGUAAUUAUUUUCUCACUGACUUAGUCAGGUUGAAUCACUACAGAUGUUUUAUUAAACUGUCUUUUCUUGUUGCUAUGUUAAAACAUCCUGACAAAAAACGGCAUAAGGUUGAAGAGUUAAUAUUUGCUUACAGUUCAGGAUACUGGUCCUCAGGCUGAGAAGUCAACAUAGAAGAAUCCUUAUCUCCUGACUACAGAAAGGACAUGCAGUAGAGAUGGGUUUUCCUACAUCAAGGAAUUUAGAUCAGAUAAUCCUCCACAGGACUAGCCUUAGAAUAUCCCAGGUGAUUCUAGAUUCUCUCAAGUUGACUGUUAACAAUAACCAUCGGAGAGGUCUAUAAUGAAUUUUAUCCUAAAAUUAUUCCAAGGAAGAAACAGAUACUCAGAUUUUCUUAAGGAUUUAUUUAUUUAUUCAUUCAUUCAUUCAUUCAUUCAUUUAUUUAUUUAUUUAUUUAUUAUAUGUAAGUACACUGUAGCUGUCUUCAGACACUCCAGAAAAAGGCGCCAGAUCUCGUUUCGGAUGGUGUGAACUACCAUGUGGUUGCUGGGAAUUGAACUCAGGACCUUCGGAAGAACAGGCAUUGCUCUUAACCGCUGAGCCAUCUCUCCAGCCCCAGAUACUCAGAUUUUAAUAGACCGAUUGUCAUAUUAUUUCAGAAAAGGGAAUAUGGGCAGUAAAAAAAACUAUGAAAAGAAAUUGAGAAUUUCAAUGUUUUGUAGUUUCAUGGCAUGGCGUUUUAUUGCCUGAAUAUUCUAGAACAAGUUUUCAGUAGGGUUGGGAAUGACCACUCAACAGAAUGUUGUGAUGAUGAGUAUUAACUACAGAAGUAGAAAUAAAAUGGCAAAUAUUUUAAUUUGAAAACUUGAUUCUGCAAAAGCAUAUCUUUUUAUAUUAUAGGGAUUUAUAUAUAUUUGUAAAGUGAAUUUGGGUAUUGCGGGAAAAGCUCAGUUGAUACAAUGCUUACCACACAAGCAUGAUGAUCUGAAUUUGAUACCCAUAGGCCAUGUAAGCUCGACUUGAUCAUGAUGCAUACUUGUAAUCUCAGUACUAGGAAGGCAGAAAGUGUAGAUUUUUAUUUAUUUUUCUGAGCUUUUUAUGUUUGUUUGUUUUUUAAAUUUUAUUUAAUCUUUUAUUACACUUCAGAUUUUAUCCCCCUCUUGGGCCACCCUCUGAUUUUUCCACAUCCCACACCUCUGCCCUCACAGUCCCCAUCUCCAUGGGGAUGUUUACACACACACACCCCCAACCCCUACUCCACCAGACCUCCCCACUCCCUGGGGCCUCUAUUCUCUUGAGGGUUCAGUGUAUCUUCUCUGACUUGGCCCAGACCUGGCAGCAGUCCUCUGCUGUAUAUGUGUUGGGGGCCUCAUAUCAGCUGAUAUAUGCUGCAUGAUUGUUGGUCCAAUGACUGAGAGAUCUCAGGAGUCCAGGUUAAUUGAGACUACUGGUCCUCCUACAGGGCCGCCCUCCUCCUCAGCUUCUUCCAGCUUUUCCCUAAUUCAACCACAGAGGUCAGCAGCUUCUGUCCAUUGGUUUGAUACAGAUACCUGCAUCUGACUCUUUCAGCUGCUGGUUGGGUCUUUCAGAAGGCAGUCAUGAUAGACCCGUUUUUGUGAGCACUCUACCUCAGUAGUAGUGUCAGGCCUUGGGGUUUCGCCUUGAGCUGGAUCCUACUCUGAGCCUAUUGCUGGACCUCUUUUUCCUUGGGCUCUUCUCUAUUUUUGUCUUUGUAGUUCUUUCCUACAGGAGCAAUUAUGGGUUAGAGUUAAGCUGACAUCAUAUUAAAUGGAGAGGUACUUGAAGCAGUCCCACUAAAAUUGGGGACAAGACAAGAAUGCCCUCUCUUCCCAUAUUUAGUCAAUAUAGUAUUCAGAGUUCUAGCUAGAACAAUAAGACAACAAAAAGAGAUCAAGGGGAUACAAAUUGGCAAAGAAGUGAAGGUAUCACAAUUUGCAGAUGAUAUGAUAGCAUACAUAAGCGACCCCAAAAUGUCUACCAGAGAAUUUCUACAGCUGACAAACAACUUCAGCAAAGUGGCUGGAUAUAAAAUUAACUCAAAUCAGUAGCCUUCCUUUAUACAAAGGAUAAACAAGCUGAGAGAGAAAUUACCGAAACAGCUCCUUUCACAAUAGCUACAAAUAAUAUAAAAUAUAUUGGGGUAACUCUAACCAAACGAGUGAAAGAUCUGUAUGAUGCUAUUGUUUGUAGGCUUAUUCAUUUAGGACACAAUGACAUUAUGUUCAAAAAACAAAACAAGAACCUAACAGUUCACAAUUUUUCAUAAUUUUGUUUUCCUGGCAGAUUCUCUUCAGAGUAUAUUUACCAUGUGAAUUCUUCCAUUGUUAUUUACUGGUGUUUUGAGAUAAAUAUAUAGCAGUUUAGUUUAUUAUUCAUUGUAUUUUGGUGUUGAUUUGUUAAUCUAUAAAAUACCUUUAGUUGUGCUAGGAACAUACCUGUAAGAAUAUUUAGUUAGAAAGUAACAUUUUGAUUUUUCUUUCUCAGUUCCUUUUCAUGUUAAAAUUUUUUGUUACCAUUGUACUUAAAUAGGAGUUUAAAAGUAAAUCUACAUUUUACAUAUUUACUUACAUUGUUUCAGUUAAUAUGACUGCAUCAGCC
rnacentral:lncRNA from 1 species